CCCUUAGAUGUUCUGGGCCGCACGCGCGCUACACUGAUGCAUGCAGCAAGUCUUUUCCUUGGCCGAGAGGCCUGGGCAAUCUUUGAAUAUGCAUCGUGAUGGGGAUAGACGAUUGCAAUUAUUCGUCUUCAACGAGGAAUUCCCAGUAAGCGCGAGUCAUCAGCUCGCGUUGAUUACGUCCCUGCCCUUUGUACACACCGCCCGUCGCUACUACCGAUUGGAUGGAUUAGUGAGACCCUCGGACUGGAACCUAGAGGCGGUGGUUCAUCCACCAAAUCUUGGAGCCGGGAAGAAGGUCAAACUUGUCUAUCUAGAGGAAGUAAAAGUCGUAACA
rnacentral:rRNA from 1 species